rnacentral:lncRNA from 1 species
CCUUGUUCGUUUAGCAAUAGGACAAAUCCGACACAAACAUUUAUUCGAAAAGCAAACACUAGGAAUAAUUUUAGAUAAAUAAAAUAGUCAUGAUGAAGAUGGGUGUCCUAAACGAAUAUAUCAAAGGUUGAAGGAUCGAGGGGAGACCGAAAGAGUAGCACUGGUACUAAAAUUCAGUUGAAAAAUGUAAAGGUCUUUUUGCUCUUUAUCCAAACAAAUUUCCAUCUUUUGUUGAAAGAUCCCACAAAAUUCAUUUGUCGGGAUGGAAAAUAAGGAUACAAUUUAGAGAUUUUAUGAGUUUGCUAACGG